rnacentral:tRNA from 1 species
GGGUCUAUGGCUUAGUUAGUUAAAGCACCUGUCUAAUAAACAGGAGAUCCUGGUUUUGAAUCUCAGCCGGAGCCU